ACAAAAUUGUAAGCAAAAAAUAAGUGGAGAAAAAAGUAUUUUUCUUGCACAUGGAGAAGUAGAUCGACCAGCCUACAACAAUACCAA